UACGUAGGGGGCAAGCGUUGUCCGGAAUCAUUGGGCGUAAAGAGCGCGUAGGCGGCCCGGUAAGUCCGCUGUGAAAGUCAAGGGCUCAACCCUUGAAUGCCGGUGGAUACUGUCGGGCUAGAGUCCGGAAGAGGCGAGUGGAAUUCCUGGUGUAGCGGUGAAAUGCGCAGAUAUCAGGAGGAACACCGAUGGCGAAGGCAGGUCUCUGGGCCGAUACUGACGCUGAGGAGCGAAAGCGUGGGGAGCGAACAGG
rnacentral:rRNA from 1 species